AAAGAGUCCGAGUUAUUGUCAAGGGUCUUAUAUGCCAAGAUUCUUGUGAAGGUGCCACUGAGUAAGUAUAUAACAUGGCUUGACAAAAUAUGCAUAAAUGGUUGAAUAAUCUCGAUUAGGAUGGUGGAGGAAGGUGCUAUGGUGGAGGAAAGGAGAUGCUUUUAUGCGAAUGAGGCGAAUGAUCAAUAUUCACAAGCCUUUUCGAGAGAAAGUUGGGACCUGGUGGAAAAUAACUCACAUGACUCAAGAAGUUUAACAUAUGAUGGGAUAUGGACACCCUCUAUCAGCAACAGAUAUGGUGUUGGAAUUAGCUUGUAACAAGGAGUUCACUAUUCUAGUGGAAGCUCAAGAAGAGUGCGUAAACAAACAAAAUACAUUAAUGGUGAUGGGGACCAAAGGUGAUGUUGACUAUUGAUCUUUGUUGGUUAUUAGAAGGGAGAAACAUACUAAUAGAAGAAAAAAAGUUAUGGGAGGAUAGACAAUUUAGUGAAAAAAUGAGGGAAAAGUCUAGAGAAAAGUCUACCAAUUUUUUGAGUGGUUAGGGGGGGACAUAAGGGAUGAGGAGGUCAAGUAGAGGGAUGGAUUACUAACAGGGUUGGAUGUUUCCAAAUUCUCGCAAGAGCAGAUACAUAUGUUGUCAACUCAGUUUGAUAUUUGUCCUGGUAGAAUGGAAAAAGUUAAGAAGACCAUUAGGAAAGAAAAGAAGGGUAAGAAAAAUGUGUUUGCAAAUUGUGGGGCCACAGGGUCAUUGGAAAUUAUUGGGCCUUCACUACAUGCUGGCCCAGUGGUAUGCGUGAAUCUCCAAUUGGACUCUAAUCCUCCUAACAACAAUGAAAAAGGGACAAAAAAGCUAUGACACGACAACAUGGGCUAGCCUAAGUUGAAGGAGUAGUGUGGUCUACAACUUGUUGCAAUAGACGUGGGGUUGGAAGUAGGGGGUAAGAGCUUUGAGGAAGCAAUUCAGGGAGCUGACAUAAUCACAAUGGUGGGAGACAAAAGCCAAAGUAUAAUUGGAGAGGGAAGAGGCAAAGUCUAGUAUCGAAAUAAUGCAAUUUUAGGAAAGAGAAAAAUGUCAACAAGAGAAGGUAUUAGAAGUAAGGUGAUCAUAACUUAUGGAAGACUUGAACCUUAUUUUGGAAUACUGUGGAAAAGGAGGAGGAGGCAAAUGCUCUAUCGGAAGGGGGGGAAAUAACAACUACAAAUACCAAUAAGACUGAUGUUUGAGAAGCAAAAGGGAAGAAUGAUCAUCAAGAGUGUAAGAAGAACAACUAGUGAUGUUGCAUUACAAAAGGAUAACAACAAAACAAAAGUGAAGUGGAUACAUAAUGACAUUCAAGAGGUAUUCGGGGUCCUAAUUGAGGGAUGCUUGUAGAAGGUGGUACAUACUUACAAGGAAAUGUAGGGCAAAGAUAAGAAGGAGAUUGACAAAAUCACAAAAGUAACUGGAGGAAGGAAUGUAUGUGGUUUUUUAUGAAGAUAUUAAGCCUAAACAUUAAAGGUCUAGGGGUGUCAAGUG
rnacentral:lncRNA from 1 species